GUGCUAAUACCGGAUAACAACAUGAAUCGCAUGAUUCAAGUUUGAAAGGCGGCGCAAGCUGUCACUUUAGGAUGAGCCCGCGGCGCAUUAGCUAGUUGGUGGGGUAAAGGCCUACCAAGGCAAUGAUGCGUAGCCGAGUUGAGAGACUGAUCGGCCACAUUGGGACUGAGACACGGCCCAAACUCCUACGGGAGGCAGCAGUAGGGAAUCUUCCACAAUGGACGCAAGUCUGAUGGAGCAACGCCGCGUGAGUGAAGAAGGUCUUCGGAUCGUAAAGCU
rnacentral:rRNA from 1 species